AUUCCAGCUCCAAUAGCGAAUACUAAUUCUGCUGCAGUUAAAAAGCUCGUAGUUGAACUUCUGGUAGGACAGAUCCGGCCUUUGGAUGAAUGUCCAUUGUAUGCUGUGUGUCUUGUCUGGCCAUCCUUUAUGUCUUUUAGGCGUAAUCUUUCACUGUAAAAAAAUUAGGGUGUUUCAAGCAAAAGUUAUUUGGAAUAUAUUAGUAUGGGAUGAUAAGAUAGGCUCUUGAGUGCUACUUUGUUGGUUUAUACACUUAGAGAACGAUUAACAGGGACAGUCAGGGGCACUCGUAUUCCGCCGAGAGAGGUGAAAUUCUCAGACCAGCGGAAGACGAACCACUGCGAAAGCAUUUGCCAGGGAUGUUUUCAUCA
rnacentral:rRNA from 1 species